rnacentral:rRNA from 1 species
AGUGAACGCUGGCGGCGUGCUUAACACAUGCAAGUCGAACGAGAACGGGUUAUAGCUUGCUAUAAUUGUCAGCUAAGUGGCGCACGGGUGAGUAAUGUAUAGGUAAUAUGCCUCUUACUAAGGGAUAACAAAUGGAAACGUUUGCUAAUACCUUAUACUCCUUAUUAACAGAAGUUAAUAAGGGAAAGAUUUAUUGGUAAGAGAUUAGCCUGUAUUGUAUCAGUUAGUUGGUGGGGUAAUGGCUUACCAAGACUAUGACACAUAACUGGUUUGAGAGGAUGGUCAGUCACACUGGAACUGAGACACGGUCCAGACUCCUACGGGAGGCAGCAGUGGGGAAUAUUGCACAAUGGACGAAAGUCUGAUGCAGCAACGCCGCGUGGAGGAUGACACAUUUCGGUGCGUAAACCCCUUUUAUAUGAGAAGAUAAUGACGGUAUUAUAUGAAUAAGCACCGGCUAACUCCGUGCCAGCCGCCGCGGUAA